rnacentral:rRNA from 1 species
UACGGGGGGGGCAAGCGUUGUUCGGAAUUACUGGGCGUAAAGGGCUUGUAGGUGGCCAACUAAGUCAGACGUGAAAUCCCUCGGCUUAACCGGGGAACUGCGUCUGAGACUGGAUGGCUUGAGUGUGGGAGAGGUGAGUGGAACUGCGAGUGUAGAGGUGAAAUUCGUAGAUAUUCGCAAGAACACCAGUGGCGAAGGCGGCUCACUGGCCCGAUACUGACGCUGAGGCACGAAAGCGUGGGGAGCAAACAGG